GAGGUCACCUGGAAAGAUUGAUUUGCGUUCGGCAAGCGCCGGCCGGGCCUACAGAGCGGGUGACAAAGCCCCAUACGCUCGAGGAUCGGACGCGGUGCCGCCGCUGCCUUUGGGGCCCGUCCCCCCCGGAGAGGGGACGACGACCCAACACACAAGCCGUGCUUGAUGGGCAGCAAUGACGCUCGGACAGGCAUGCCCCCCGGAAUACCAGGGGGCGCAAUGUGCGUUCAAAGACUCGAUGAUUCACGGAAUUCUGCAAUUCACACUAGUUAUCGCAUUUCGCUGCGUUCUUCAUCGAUGCCGGAACCAAGAGAUCCAUUGUUGAAAGUUUUAACUGAUUGCGAUACAAUCAACUCAGACUUCACUAGAUCAGACAGAGUUCGUGGUGUCUCCGGCGGGCGCGGGCCCGGGGCUGAGAGCCCCCGGCGGCCAUGAAUGGCGGGCCCGCCGAAGCAACUAAGGUACAGUAAACACGGGUGGGAGGUUGGGCUCGCUAGGAACCCUACACUCGGUAAUGAUCCUUCCGCAGGUUCACC
rnacentral:misc_RNA from 1 species